AGCUGCUGCAAAGGGAGAUGCUUUGGAAAGAGUCCGUCGAAGGAUGUCGUCUGAGCAGAAAUUCUUAAUAUGGAAAAAAAAUGAGACAGUCAUGGUCAGGCUGGAUUUUAAAAACCUGGGUGAGCGUCGUUAGCCUGUUUGCCGGAAGGAAGGUUAGACUUAUCAUGGUUGCAACUUCCAGAGGCACAAAGCCUGCUUAACACCGCCCAGGUCCCUCUAUCAGGAAUGCCAGUUACAGAAGCGUCAGGACAUGCUUCAGGAGCAAAGUUCUACCCCAGGCAUAAUGACAAAGCUGUGCCCUGUCAGACGCAGCUUCUCGGGGACCGUGUGGGCGCCAGGAACGCACCCAGGGAAGGACAAGGCCCUGCCCCAUGAGACAGAGGGAAGAAGGGGGGAUCCCCUUCUCCUUUCCUCUCCUCCUUCCUCCCGCCCCGACGCGGGAGGGGUCUGCGCCAGAAGAACCUGUAGAAUUUGGUGCAUGCCAGGAAGACAAGCAGGUAGAUUUGCAAGGAGAAGCACACAGCCAGGUGGGGCCACUGCUCAGUCUUCUCCCGGCUUCCUCACCUGAGAGGUACGCUCCACGAUCACAGCCAGUCCACGGGCGGCUGCCGGCCCAGCACGUGGGAAGUGCUGUCGUAUCUGCCGUUAUAAUGACAGGCCAGUAAAGGAAGAAAAAAGAGAAAUAGGGAAACCAUCACCUGUAGUUCUCUGACCUGGGACAGGCACGGUGAACCCCUUCGGGUAUAUGCUUCCGCACUGUUCGUGCGUGUAUAUGCCAUCCACGCGGCCGGUUCCACCAUGCGGCGUGCGACCACACGUGUCCCGUAGUCCCCCGUGCUCUCUGGGGUCCUGUGAGCAAGACGGCCGAGUUAGGGCUCCCCGCGCGCCCGGAGCCUUCGUGCCUGCGGUUCCGCUUGCGGCCACCGGGUGUCGCUGUUGAGCCGGGCCGGGCCGCUCCUUCGGGAAGGACGCCCUUGGACCUUUUUGAAACCGUGCUGCGCUCCGCAAGGGGUGCCCCAGGCUGGAACCCCAAGCUUGCAGCUUGCGGCUCUCGGCGUUCAGCAGCUCCCUUUACCGCACACCUCCCGCUAGCUUCAGGAGCUCCGGGUUAGGGCAGUUUCUGGCACCUGCCACCUCCUAGACCCAGAGGUGGUGGGGGCCCCAGCAGGAGCUGGUCCAGCCCCCCAGUCACACCCCCUCUUCCGGGGAAUGUGGCUGCCCGCCCGGGCCCCAAGUCGGACCCACAAAGGCACGGACGUUUGUGCGUGGUCCCUGUUGGAUAGCUCCCUUGGAGGGGCCCCAGCCGCCGCACUGGACACUCAGACAUGCAGCGGAGAUCAGCGAAGGGCCGGAGCCGGUUUGCCAGCCGUGUGAGGGACCCAGCCUAGAGGUGACCCCGUCGUGCCUGCAGACUUCUGACCCCUCACUGCGGCCGCACGGGAGACUCUGAGCCAGGACGCCCAGCAAACUGCCCCUGAAUUCCAGACCCCCUGAAACCGUGAGAGCUCAUGACAAACACAUGACCUUGCUGUUGAAGCCGUAAGAUUUGGGGGUGAUGUAUGCCCCUGGGCUCGCCAACCCCAACCCCUCCUGCUUCCCCACCGACCCUGGGGGAUAGUUUGUGUCCUCAUGUCUUCGUGUCCUCGUUGCUGGGCCUGCCGUGCUUGGGGCCGACGCAGCCUUACUGGUCGAUCCUCUGAGAGCAGACGUGCCUGGAGAUUCUGGGGGUGAUUCCUGGGUGAUUUUCUGUCCUCUCUAGUUCUGUGAGGCUGGACACCACUUUCGUUUAUUAAAAGGGACACCGACGUCAACUCUAACAGGAACCCCUCUGGAAGGGCGUCUCUUCAAGAUCAUCUCAAAUGAGCUGUAUUAGCCCAGUUGAUGGGGGCAAACAGCCCAGCGGAUUGUGACCGGCCAACCGCUAAGGUUUUCUUGUAUUAAUUUUGCUAUUUUUACCUUGACGAGGUCAUAGUGCACACGCUCUUUGUACCCUCUGUCGGACCCUUCGCUGCCACGUCCCGAGCCCACGGGAGGUCAACACAGACCAACGCUAUGUGAAGGGUUGUCUGGAGGGACCAUUAUUUACGACCAGUCCCCGGAAACCUGGAGCCCAGAACGUUGCCCCUUUCGUGAUAGUGUGAGCACCACAUUUACUCUUUUUAAUUGUGGUAAAAUACACAUCUCACAAAAUGUACAUAUUCACCGUCCAUAAGUGUUCAGUGCAGGGCACCGAGCACAUUCCCCUCGUGCAGCCGGCACCGCGGUCCGUCUCCAGGACCUUCCAUCUUCCCGAACGGACGCUCUGCCCCAUUGAACCCUAGCCCCCAGUCCCCAGCCCCCAGGCCCCCCGCACCUCCGUCCACUCUCUGUCUCUAUGCGUGUGGCCAUGCUAGGUUCCUCAUUGGAGCGGGAGCACACAGUCCUUGCCCUCUGGGCCGGCGUGUGUCCCUCAGCGUGUCCUGUACGUUCAUCCACAGUGCCGCGGGGGCGGAACGCCCUUCCUUUUUAGGGCUGAAUGCUAUUCCACUGUAUGGAUGGGCCACAUUUUCCUUUCUUUAAAGAUUUUAUUUCUUUGACAGAGAGACAGCAAGAGAGGGAACACAAGCAGGGGGAGUGGCAGAGAG